AUUAAACGCUGGCGGCAUGCCUUACACAUGCAAGUCGAACGGCAGCACGGGGCAACCUGGUGGCGAGUGGCGAACGGGUGAGUAAAGCAUCGGAACGUGCCCUGGAGUGGGGGAUAACGUAGCGAAAGUUACGCUAAUACCGCAUAUUCUGUGAGCAGGAAAGCAGGGGAUCGCAAGACCUUGCGCUCUGGGAGCGGCCGAUGUCGGAUUAGCUAGUUGGUGGGGUAAAGGCCUACCAAGGCGACGAUCCGUAGCGGGUCUGAGAGGAUGAUCCGCCACACUGGGACUGAGACACGGCCCAGACUCCUACGGGAGGCAGCAGUGGGGAAUUUUGGACAAUGGGCGAAGCCUGAUCCAGCCAUGCCGCGUGAGUGAAGAAGGCC
rnacentral:rRNA from 1 species